rnacentral:rRNA from 1 species
AGUGAACGCUGGCGGUAGGCCUAACACAUGCAAGUCGAACGGCAGCACAGUAAGAGCUUGCUCUUACGGGUGGCGAGUGGCGGACGGGUGAGGAAUACAUCGGAAUCUACUUUUUCGUGGGGGUUAACGUAGGGAAACUUACGCUAAUACCGCAUACGCCCUACGGGUGAAAGCAGGGGAACUUCGGACCUUGCGCGAUUGAAUGAGCCGAUGUCGGAUUAGCUAGUUGGCGGGGUAAAGGCCCACCAAGGCGACGAUCCGUAGCUGGUCUGAGAGGAUGAUCGGCCACACUGGAACUGAGACACGGUCCAGACUCCUACGGGAGGCAGCGGUGGGGAAUAUUGGACAAUGGGCGCAAGCCUGAUCCAGCCAUACCGCGUGGGUGAAGAAGGCCUUCGGGUUGUAAAGCCCUUUUGUUGGGAAAGAAAAGCAGCAGGUUAAUACCCCGCUGUUCUGACGGUACCCAAAGAAUAAGCACCGGCUAACUUCGUG